GGAGAGGUGUCCGAGCGGACUAAGGGGCGUGCCUGGAGAGCACGUACCGGCGAAAGUCGGUCGUGGGUUCAAAUCCCACCCUCUCCGCCA
rnacentral:tRNA from 1 species